GACGAACGCUGGCGGCGUGCUUAACACAUGCAAGUCGAACGGUAAGGCCCUUCGGGGUACACGAGUGGCGAACGGGUGAGUAACACGUGGGUGAUCUGCCCUGCACUUCGGGAUAAGCCUGGGAAACUGGGUCUAAUACCGGAUAGGACCACUGCCUGCAUGGGUGGUGGUGGAAAGCUUUUGCGGUGGGGGAGGGGCCCGCGGCCUAUCAGCUGGUUGGUGGGGUGAUGGCCUACCAAGGCGACGACGGGUAGCCGGCCUGAGAGGGUGACCGGCCACACUGGGACUGAGAUACGGCCCAGACUCCUACGGGAGGCAGCAGUGGGGAAUAUUGCACAAUGGGCGCAAGCCUGAUGCAGCGACGCCGCGUGAGGGAUGACGGCCUUCGGGUUGUAAACCUCUUUCAGCACCGACGAAGUGCAAGUGACGGUAGGUGCAGAAGAAGGACCGGCCAACUACGUGCCAGCCGCCGCAGUAA
rnacentral:rRNA from 1 species